rnacentral:rRNA from 1 species
AUUGAACGCUGGCGGCAUGCUUUACACAUGCAAGUCGAACGGUAACAGGCCGCAAGGUGCUGACGAGUGGCGAACGGGUGAGUAAUGCAUCGGAACGUGCCCAGUCGUGGGGGAUAACGCAGCGAAAGCUGCGCUAAUACCGCAUACGAUCUGUGGAUGAAAGCGGGGGACCGUAAGGCCUCGCGCGAUUGGAGCGGCCGAUGUCAGAUUAGGUAGUUGGUGGGGUAAAGGCUCACCAAGCCAACGAUCUGUAGCUGGUCUGAGAGGACGACCAGCCACACUGGGACUGGGACACGGCCCAGACUCCUACGGGAGGCAGCAGUGGGGAAUUUUGGACAAUGGGCGCAAGCCUGAUCCAGCAAUGCCGCGUGCAGGAAGAAGGCCUUCGGGUUGUAAACUGCUUUUGUACGGAACGAAACGGUCCUGGUUAAUACCUGGGGCUAAUGACGGUACCGUAAGAAUAAGCACCGGCUAACUACGUGCCAGCAGCCGCCGUAACAC